UACAGAGGUCUCAAGCGUUGUUCGGGAUUCAUUGGGCGUAAAGGGUGCGUAGGCGGCGCGGUAAGUCGGGUGUGAAAUCUCGGGGCUUAACUCCGAAACUGCAUUCGAUACUGCCGUGCUUGAGGACUGGAGAGGAGACUGGAAUUUACGGUGUAGCGGUGAAAUGCGCAGAUAUCAGGAAGAACACCAAUGGCGAAGGCAGCUCUCUGGGACGGUACUGGACGCUGAGACGCGAAAGCGUGGGGAGCGAACAGG
rnacentral:rRNA from 1 species